rnacentral:rRNA from 1 species
GAUGAACGCUAGCGGGAGGCUUAACACAUGCAAGUCGAGGGGCAGCAUAGGGUAGCAAUACUCUGAUGGCGACCGGCAAACGGGUGAGUAACGCGUAUGCAACCUACCCUGUACAGGGGGAUAACCCGGAGAAAUUCGGACUAAUAUCCCGUAAUAAUAUCCGGAGGCAUCUUUGGAUAUUUAAAGUUCCGACGGUACGGGAUGGGCAUGCGUAACAUUAGCUGGUUGGUAAGGUAACGGCUUACCAAGGCUAUGAUGUUUAGGGGUCCUGAGAGGGUGGUCCCCCACACUGGUACUGAGACACGGACCAGACUCCUACGGGAGGCAGCAGUGAGGAAUAUUGGUCAAUGGGCGGAAGCCUGAACCAGCCAUCCCGCGUGCAGGAAGACGGCCCUAUGGGUUGUAAACUGCUUUUCCAGGGGGAGAAACUUUCCGAUGCAUCGGGAUUUGACGGUACCCUGGGAAUAAGCAUCGGCUAACUCCGUG